rnacentral:rRNA from 1 species
GAUGAACGCUGGCGGCGUGCCUAAUACAUGCAAGUCGAACGAACGGACGAGAAGCUUGCUUCUCUGAUGUUAGCGGCGGACGGGUGAGUAACACGUGGAUAACCUACCUAUAAUACUGGGAUAACUUCGGGACACCGGAGCUAAUACCGGAUAAUAUUUUGAACCGCAUGGUUCAAAAGUGCAAGACGGCCUUGCUGUCACUUAUAGAUGGAUCCGCGCUGGAUUAGCUAGUUGGUAAGGUCACGGCUUACCAAGGCGACGAUGCGUAGCCGACCUGAGAGGGGGAUCGGCCACACUGGAACUGAGACACGGUCCAGACUCCUACGGGAGGCAGCAGUAGGGAAUCUUCCGCAAUGGGCGAAAGCCUGACGCAGCAACGCCGCGUGAGUGAUGAAGGUCUUCGGAUCGUAAAACUCUGUUAUUAGGGAAGAACAGCUGUGUAAGGAACUGUGGACAUCUUGACGGUACCUAAUCAGAAAGCCACGGCUAACUACGUG